CACGGGAGCAAAUUUCACUCUGCCCUGGCCCAAAAAGGCUGGGUGGACGCCAUCACCCGACAUUUCAGCCAUGCCACUUUGCCAUGACGCCAUGGGAGGUGCGGGAUUUGUUUUCCCCAGUGUAUAACUGCGCAGGCUUCAUCUUCUGCUUAGAGCCAAACUGCAUCCUUCACAUUACACCAUCACUGGUCACUGAGUUGAACUGACACGACACAUCAAGAGACUUCUAUGAUGAGUCCAUCUGCUGGGAAGCUUAUGUCAUAAAGAAGGAACAUAUGACAUUCCUGAACUGUAUUUACUGCUGAGCAAGGUGCAUUCUUCCUCUCCAGCACUGAAAUCGAUGCUGUAGCAGGUAAAACGAAAAUGUCAUAACUCAAGGAACAUAUAUUAAUGCAUUCAACAUAGAGUCUAAGUGACAAUAAGUAAAAAAUGAAGUGUAUCACAGAAUGAAAGAAGAAGCAGCUCUGGUCCUGUGAGGAGGAGUGCACAUCUAAGAAGAAAAUUUUUAGUGCUUUCUAAGACUUCAGUUUCCCUGGCAACAUUUUCUUUAGCUUUAGAAAUGUUUUGUCUCUGGUCCAAAUAGUUAGCUUAAUUGCUGUGGUUAUCACUCAGUUUGUUCUAAGGAACCUUACAAUUUAUGAUAGCAUGCCAAGAAAAUGUAAACACUAUUCUGUACACUCAUUAUAACCACAAUUACGUUUCUCAUUAUUGCUUAGGGUCACAAUUUUAGACUCCCUCCAGAGCUUUACAUGCACAGCUAAAUUCUUCAAGGAGUUCAGGCAAAGUGCAAGUCUAUCCAGACCUCCUUUAAAACUCCUGUGCUCAACACCUACCAACCAGUGCUCGGUAAGUCCAGCUCUGGACAUGACAGAAGAUCAGUGCACAAUCAUUGUUGGUGAUAUGCAUACACAAGCACUAUGCUCAAAACUCCAAACUCCACAGGACUUACCCAAUAAUGUCAGCAGAACUACCAAGGGAAUAUGAUAUUAUACACCUUUUCUUUCUUUCCUGGUGAUUUUGCAAGGUUACCAGUUAUGAGAAACAUUAAUACUUACACCUCUGAAAACAGAAUAUUAACGAAUAUUCCCUAAGUGACCUGCAGGUGUGAUCCAGGCUGACACUGCAAUGAUGAGAGAGCAGGUUACCAGCAUAAAAGUAGGCUUUAUCUUGGAAGAGCCGUGUCUCUUUUGCAUUUUCAUGAAAUGCAUCCUUAUGACUGACAUUUUACUGAAUGCCCUUUGGGGAUUCAGUUCAGACCACCAAGUAGAAAUGGCAGUUUUUUUUUUCUUAGAAAUAAAUGUCUCCUGUGCACUGUAUCUGUGAUACUGAGUCUCUGACUGAAAGCUCCCUUUUUACAGUAAGAGAACUUAAGACCCUGGCAGAGAUGGUUUCAGAUAUUCAAUUUCUCUUUAUGUGGCAGAGUAAUGGAAGUGCUCAUGAUCACUGCAGUUUUUUGGCUUUCUCUUAUAGAGGAGCAGUACAUUUAUUUUGAUAUUUAACUUUUUCCUUUUGCAACACUUGUAUACAAAAUCAGAUUGUGUUCAAAAUAAGCCUUGGGAACUGUUGAGUACUGAGAUCUCAAGAACAUAGUAAUGACUGAUAUGUUUAUAGAGUAGAGUUUCCAGUCCGCUCUUCUCCCCUGUCCCAAGCAGCACUUUCUUCAGAAAGUUGGAGAGGGCAGUACCACACAGUUAGAGUGGCCUCCGGCAGCAAACCCCGUGCCACCUGAAUUACACUUGCAAGGCAUGCAAAGUUUAGCCUCAGCAUAAGGGGAUGGGAUCCCCAAAAUGGGCUGAGGGGCCAGGUGAGCACAAAGGUGCAUUGCACACCCUCGUCCACGCACCAAGCUCAACCUGUCAGCCACGAGUACAGAUAUUCUGCUGCCUUCUCAUCCCCAGCAGGAGUAAACUGCAUUGCUCACAUGCACUAUGGCUCACUCCCACUCUUGCCUCACGGCUCAGCUCACUUUUCUUUUUAAUUCCCUCGUUGAACCUUUACUAGCAGAAGCACAUGUAAAAGCUGCAGGUCCCUUUACGUAUCAGAGUCAAACAUUUACUUACAACUGCUGUUCCAGCAAUAACAAUUAAAUUAAACAUGAAGGGAACAGAGCUGCCUGGAAGAUCUACAAGCUGGAGGUGUAAAUCACACCACAUAACUAAUUUAUGACAUUCUGCGCCUACAGCUGUACGCUGACAGUUUGUAAGUGUAAGGGCGGCUGUGAUUUCUAAGUGCUUUUGGUGACGAAAGAAUAGGAAACUGGUUAGAUGGGCCUCUCUCCCUACAACUAAAGUCAUACAUUAAAUGAGGUCAGGUUAGGUCAGUAGCUGAACAAAAAUGAUGUUGCGUACAUGGUUCAGCUGGAAACAUUCCAAGAAGCAUCUUGGAUUUAUUUUUUCCCCAUAAAAAUAAUGCGGUUUUGAAUUUGUGAAACAUAAGGCGGCAACAAGGUUAUUUCUCAACCACUGAAAUUGCCCAAUUACAUUUUCCAGUGAAAAUGUACUUGAGUGAACUUUUUAGAAGCCUUAAACCCACCAUAUUACUAGGCUUUGAAAAUUCUCUAUUUGCUCACCCAGAACAUGUGCAAAUUCAAGUUUGAAGUCCCUUUUUUUUCAGGCUGGAUCUCCUUUGUAUUUCAUAUAUCUAAGUCCUAGGAUUCAGAUGCUUUCCUCUAUCCAGUUUAUGUUUGUAGAUGCUUCUGAAAAUACAUUGGUGCAAGGAACAUA